rnacentral:rRNA from 1 species
GAUGAACGCUGGCGGCGUGCCUAAUACAUGCAAGUCGAGCGAACAGACGAGGAGCUUGCUCCUCUGACGUUAGCGGCGGACGGGUGAGUAACACGUGGAUAACCUACCUAUAAGACUGGGAUAACUUCGGGAAACCGGAGCUAAUACCGGAUAAUAUAUUGAACCGCACGGUUCAAUAGUGAAAGACGGUUUUGCUGUCACUUAUAGAUGGAUCCGCGCCGCAUUAGCUAGUUGGUAAGGUAACGGCUUACCAAGGCGACGAUGCGUAGCCGACCUGAGAGGGGGAUCGGCCACACUGGAACUGAGACACGGUCCAGACUCCUACGGGAGGCAGCAGUAGGGAAUCUUCCGCAAUGGGCGAAAGCCUGACGGAGCAACGCCGCGGGAGUGAUGAAGGUCUUCGGAUCGUAAAACUCUGUUAUUAGGGAAGAACAAAUGUGUAAGUAACUAUGCACGUCUUGACGGUACCUAAUCAGAAAGCCACGGCUAACUACGU